rnacentral:rRNA from 1 species
AGAAAAUAGAUACCCUGGUAGUCCACGCUGUAAACGAUGAAGACUAGAUGUUGUUCAGCAUGACUGAUUAAGUAUCGAAGCUAACGCGAUAAGUCUUCCGCCUGGGGAGUACGGCCGCAAGGUUAAAACUCAAAGGAAUUGACGGGGGCCCGGCACAAGCGGUGGAGCAUGUGGUUUAAUUCGAUGCAACGCGAAGAACCUUACCUACCCUUGACAUCCUGGGAAGGGCUGCAGAGAUGCGGCUGUGCCGAAAGGAACCCAGAGACAGGUGCUGCAUGGCUGUCGUCAGCUCGUGUUGUGAGAUGUUGGGUUAAGUCCCGUAACGAGCGCAACCCUUAUCCUUAGUUACCAGCACGUGAUGGUGGGGACUCUAAGGAGACUGCUGGUGAAGAACCGGAGGAAGGCGGGGACGACGUCAAGUCAUCAUGGCCUUUAUGGGUAGGGCUACACACGUGCUACAAU